AAAUGGCGAUAAAUUUGACAUGUUUCUUAACGUUUAAAUAUUGGAAGAUAUUCUUUUUUAAUAUUAUAAGAGAUUUCUUACAAAUAGUAUAAAUUUUCACAAAUAUUAUAGAAGAAACAGAAAUCAAGGUGAAUAAUAAGGAAAGUAAUCACACUCAUGCGCAACGAUAUACAUGGUUGUGCGCGUUAGCGCGGAAAUUGAAUUACCUUUGUGCGACUGCAACGAUGAAAGCGAGGCCGGAUUGUACCAUCUUGCAAACGGUCUUCCAAUUAAACGUAUCUACCAAGUGCAAUUUACACGUCGAAGGAUCUUGAUGUGCAAUAAAAAGAUAAAAUAUAUUUUCAAAAUUCAUUGAUCAAAAUUAAUUUUAAAAAAUUAUUUUGCGUGUAAUCUAAUGGAAUAAAAAGAAUGAAAAGUUAAUGUCCUGUUAAACUGUUCUCUGAAAACUGUUUUGUAAUUUAAAACAAAUUAAUAUUUAAUCGGAAUUAAAAAAAAAUUGCUAAUGCAAAGGAAAAUUUUGUGUUUGAGGAAUAAAAACAAA